rnacentral:snoRNA from 1 species
AAGCCAUGAUGUGGGCAUUUUCUCAUUAACUCCUUCAUUCUCCCACAAGCCUCAUGAAUUUGUUCACCCGGUGUUUGGGUGAAUCAAGUGAUGGCUCUUCUCAUGGU